CUCUUAAAAGACUUAUAUUUAGAAACGGAGGGAGUAGUAGGUAGGUAGGCAGAUUAAAAAUAUUGUAUUAAAAAUGCCUCCUUCACCGAUCCUGCUGCUGCACGCCUGCACCGCAUGGCCUUCUCUAAUCUCCUUCCUUCAGCCGCAUACUUUCCAGAUCCAUAUCCAUCUGCACUAUCAAUAUUACAUUAGGCAAACACUUUAAAUAAGUAGUCUGAUUAGAAGCAUCCAUCGGACUAAUAGAUUGCCUUUGAUUCUAAUUUAAUCUUGCGGUCCAACACCUCUAUGCUUUCGCAAAUAAAAUUAAAAAAGUGCUAGCUCGUAGCAAACCUCCCGCAUCCAUCCAUAAAUCCCUCCCAACAAAUUUCCCGGAUAUUCCUCUGGAAUCUUAUCCUUCUCUCAGGCGCCCACACGACGCACCUCCCUGAUAUUCUAGUCAACUGCAACACCACAUCCUCUACGACGGUAGAGCACAUCGCGCAUUCCUUCACACCUCGUCGGCGGCCACAACAGUGGAGGAGUAGUCUCACCGUCCAGAUUCGUUCAUCUGCUCUUCUCCACCCCUCCCUCUCCACUAAUGCGAGUAUGCGACCCCGGGCGACAUGGUUGGUGUGCCAUCUCGUCGAUAAGGGGUCGAGCACCUAUCUCUUCUACCUCCGAUCACCACAGAAACAGAAGUUAACACGUGUGCUCCUCUUCCUCACUGAUUUUUUUGUAAUGUUACAAUGAUUGGACUAUCUUAUUCUUGAUUUUUAUGUGCUUGAUCAGUAGGAGGCCAUGAUGUGCAUCCUAGCAAGGAGGCUCCAUAGGCGUUGGUGCCUUCGCCUCUAGCUCCAGUUCUUCUCGACAUUGUCGGGAGCACGCCCGACCGCCUGCAAAAAAUGAUGCCUCGCGUCCUCGGCUCAGCUAGAGCCGCUCCAUCCAUUCCACUCUUUUCUAUGUGUGGUUAACCAUGGUCCAUCGGGAUAGAAAGGAAGCAAGUCCACCAUCAGAAGGAAGCACGAGUAUUGUUGAUAGAAGCACUACCAACAUAAGAAGGAAGCACAAAUAGCAUGCACGGCCAGAAGGAUGCACUCCCCCCAUCAAAUGGAAGAAGCAUAACUACCAUUUCAUGGAAGCCCGACCAACGUUGAAAGGAAGCAUGGUUGGCCAUCAGCCCGAUGGUGUUUGAGUUGUGCCUUAGAUGCCACAGUUUUGUUUUAUGGAAGCAAAUCCUGUCAAACCAAAUGUACUGUUUCAAUGAUAAACAUUUCAGAUUGGAAAUAAAUAUCCUUGGAAGCAA